rnacentral:tRNA from 1 species
CGGGACGUAGCGCAGCUGGUAGCGCAUCUGGUUUGGGACCAGAGGGUCGCAGGUUCAAAUCCUGUCGUCCCGACUA